CCCAAUUCAAAACUUCGAAAUCAACAUCCCAGCCAAUCUAAUACAUAAUGCUUGAGAAAUUGACCCUAAAAAUCACAUUCCAAAACAGAAUAUGAAACUAUCUAGUAGUAGCCCCAUUCUCAACCUUGCAAUCAACAUUUGAGGCAUGCAUCGCUAAUUUAUCUUUGGCAAUCUACAACAACAACAACGAAAUGAGGACAAAAUCUGGUUAAUAGAGCAAUAAAUUUAAAAGACAAAAUCUGAUUAAUAGACCAAUAUAUUUAGAAGAGGAGCAACAUACAUAGGUUGAAUAAUACAAUGAUAAAUUUAAAGGAGGAGCAUAACACAAAGGUUGAAGGCCCUUGUUGCAUCUACUGAGUUGGCAUGUUCAUGCAUGCGCGUGCAGUGCGUUAGUUUCUCACCAAAUAUCAUAAGGUUCAAUUCAACUACAUUAUAUUAUGUCUCUUAUUUUUGUAAGAAGGUACAAGAAAGACAAAAAAACAUGAAGAAAUUCACAAGCAAGACCCAGAAAGAUUACAUGUUCACCAGCAGAAAGCUUUGGAUCUUACUUUUAUAUAAGAGUGCAUCCAGUUAUGUUUACAUUGUCCUUGGAUGAAAAAAGUUAGUGCCCCAG
rnacentral:lncRNA from 1 species